rnacentral:rRNA from 1 species
GGUUACAGCCCUACCACCCUGACCGCACCCAAUCUCAUCUGAUCUUGGAAGCUAACCAGGACAGACUUGCUUAGUACUUGGAUGGGAGAAAGAGGGAUGGACAGAAUUGACCU